rnacentral:misc_RNA from 1 species
AUUGAGCCAAACAUUCGCUUAUUCUAUUAAGUAUCAUAUCGUGCUACGUCCACCAAGAGACUAAGCUCAAUUGGAAGAGCCUUGCUCUAUAUUGUAUACAUCUAUAUUAUCUGCGUGCGAUAAGAUAUCAAGAAUGGCGAUAUUGGUUUCUUAAACUAUAUACGCUUAGGACAUUCGUUGAAAUCGAAUCCCGUCGUCGUAAUGGUCCCCAUGGAACGAACAAGCGAAUUCAUAAUGAGACUUUCUAUUCCGUCAACGAUAUCGGAUAAUUGCGUCUCUACUGUCGAUCUUCGAAAUAAGUCUCGAGGACUAUCGAGGAGGUUGAUAGCCCCUCUCUGCCCUUUGAAUGGAAUAUUACUCUCGACGGUCGAAACAAUCCGUUUCGUUCGAUGCAUUCACGCGCGAUCGACCAACUACUGCAACUAGGAAGAAUCACCCUUUUUGCACAUCUUUCCUCUUUCUGUUUAUUUUAAAUACUUGGGUUGGAAUAACGUCUCACACGUGAUAGCUACUUUGGGUUAAAAGUACAUUGUGCGUGUCUCACUCCGUGAUCUGACAUUCUUAUUUUGAUAACGAUUUUAGUAAUUCUGUGGAAUAGGGAACCCUAGCAAUUUCGACGACUUUGAAAUAUGUUGUCAAAAUCAAGAUUCUGAGUUACUUGUUCCUAUGCACAUAAUCGUUGCCCAGUUUUAGUUUUCAGGAUAUAGAAUAAUAAUUUCUGUUGAUAUUACAUAUCUAUACUAUAUUUAUUACAUUUUUGACUAUCUGAAAAUUAGAAUAAAGUACAACAUUCUAUAUAUUUACCGUUUCGUCGAAAAUUAUUUCACUUUAGCGUUAUUGGUUACCUAGCGGCACCUGGAUAUUAUUAUUCAAUAUGAUUAUCAUCAAUGAGUUAAAUUUAGGUUAGACUAUAUAAAAAUGCGGCUACCGUCAGGUCACUGUCUACGCCGGAAUGUAGCGUAAUCCUGACAUUGCCACGGUUUUACUUAUUUUUGUCGUCAUUAUCAGUUAUCAUUGAAAUCUAAUUGUAAUUAGAUCAUGUUAAAAUAAUGCCGCGCAAGAGAAAUACAUAGUAAUGUCAGUGACUUUGUACUCUAUCCGAACGUGAUAUACGUAGUAUCUUUUUUUAAUUCAUAUUCAUUUCAAAUUAUUUAAAUAUAGUUUUGGUGUAAACUGUUCAUUUUUUCAUUAUUACUAGAUAAUCAUAAAUUCAUUCAAAAUGUUCAUAGUCACGCAAUAAUUUUGUUUGGUAGAUUAUCUAAGAAUCGAUCCCUUGAUCUUUAAUACUUUCUUUUUCCUC